rnacentral:rRNA from 1 species
GACAGAGGUGCCAAGCGUUAGGCGGAAUCACUGGGCUUAAAGCGUGUGUAGGUGGAUUUGUAAGUACCUUGUGAAAUCCCAUGGCUCAACCAUGGAACUGCUCGGUAUACUGCGAAUCUUGAGCCACUUAGGGGCUACCGGAACAAAUGGUGGAGCGGUGAAAUGCGUAGAUAUCGUUUGGAACGCCAAUGGUGAAAACAGGUAGCUGGGAGUGUGCUGACACUGAGACACGAAAGCCAGGGGAGCGAACGGG